rnacentral:rRNA from 1 species
UAAUACGUAGGUGGCGAGCGUUACUCGGAAUUACUAGGCGUAAAGCGAGUGUAGGCGGGAGCUUAAGUCGACUGUUAAAUCUCAUGGCUCAACCAUGAAAUGCCGGUUGAUACUGGGCUUCUUGAAUUCGGUAGAGGAAACUGGAAUUCCAGGUGUAGCGGUGAAAUGCGUAGAUAUCUGGAAGAACGCCAAAGGCGAAGGCAGGUUUCUGGGCCGCAAUUGACGCUGAGACUCGAAAGCUAGGGGAGCAAACAGGAUUAGAUACCCUGGUAGUCCUAGCCGUAAACGAUGUAGACCAGGUGUGGGAGGUAUCGACCCCUUCCGUGCCGACGCUAACGCAUUAAGUCUACCGCCUGGGGAGUACGGCCGCAAGGUUAAAACUCAAAGGAAUUGACGG